CGAAAGGCGUAGUCGAUGGGAAACAGGUUAAUAUUCCUGUACUUGGUGUUACUGCGAAGGGGGGACGGAGAAGGCUAUGUUGGCCGGGCGACGGUUGUCCCGGUUUAAGCGUGUAGGCUGGUUUUCCAGGCAAAUCCGGAAAAUCAAGGCUGAGGCGUGAUGACGAGGCACUACGGUGCUGAAGCAACAAAUGCCCUGCUUCCAGGAAAAGCCUCUAAGCAUCAGGUAACAUCAAAUCGUACCCCAAACCGACACAGGUGGUCAGGUAGAGAAUACCAAGGCGCUUGAGAGAACUCGGGUGAAGGAACUAGGCAAAAUGGUGCCGUAACUUCGGGAGAAGGCACGCUGAUAUGUAGGUGAAGUCCCUCGCGGAUGGAGCUGAAAUCAGUCGAAGAUACCAGCUGGCUGCAACUGUUUAUUAAAAACACAGCACUGUGCAAACA
rnacentral:rRNA from 1 species